AUUGAACGCUGGCGGCAGGCCUAACACAUGCAAGUCGAGCGGAUGAGAGGAGCUUGCUCCUUGAUUUAGCGGCGGACGGGUGAGUAAUGCCUAGGAAUCUGCCUAGUGGUGGGGGAUAACGUUCCGAAAGGAACGCUAAUACCGCAUACGUCCUACGAGAGAAAGCGGGGGAUCUUCGGACCUCGCGCCAUUAGAUGAGCCUAGGUCGGAUUAGCUAGUUGGUGAGGUAAAGGCUCACCAAGGCGACGAUCCGUAACAGGUCUGAGAGGAUGAUCAGUCACACUGGAACUGAGACACGGUCCAGACUCCUACGGGAGGCAGCAGUGGGGAAUAUUGGACAAUGGGCGAAAGCCUGAUCCAGCCAUGCCGCGUGUGUGAAGAAGGUCUUCGGAUUGUAAAGCACUUCAAGUUGGGAGGAAGGGUAUUCACCUAAUACGUGAGUAUUUUGACGUUACCGACAGAAUAAGCACCGGCUAACUUCGUGCCAGCCGCCGCCGUAAAAC
rnacentral:rRNA from 1 species